AUAUUAAACAAAUCAGAACAUUCGAGGUUUCAGUAAUAGAGAUGUAUAAU
rnacentral:guide_RNA from 1 species